UCGAAAGAGAACCGAUACACAGGUGCUGCAUGGCUGUCGUCAGCUCGUGUCGUGAGAUGUUGGGUUAAGUCCCGCAACGAGCGCAACCCUUGUCCUUAGUUGCUACGCAAGAGCACUCUAGGGAGACUGCCGGUGACAAACCGGAGGAAGGUGGGGAUGACGUCAAGUCCUCAUGGCCCUUAUGGGUAGGGCUUCACACGUCAUACAAUGGUCGGAACAGAGGGUCGCCAACCCGCGAGGGGGAGCUAAUCCCAGAAAACCGAUCGUAGUCCGGAUUGCACUCUGCAACUCGAGUGCAUGAAGCUGGAAUCGCUAGUAAUCGCGGAUCAGCAUGCCGCGGUGAAUACGUUCC
rnacentral:rRNA from 1 species